rnacentral:rRNA from 1 species
UAUGUGAUCGUCUCUCGCAUAUCAAUAAGCGGAGGAAAAGAGGGCUACUACCUACGCUUAGGAUGUUGAAGAUGUAGCACAUCAUACACGCAUGACACACUGCAUAUCAAUAAGCGGAGGAAAAGAAACUAACAAGGAUUCCCUUAGUAACGGCGAGUGAAGCGGGAAGAGCUCAAAUUUGAAAUCUUCAAGGUUUUACCUUGACGAAUUGUAGUUUAAAGAAGUGUUUUCUGUUGAAGUUUUGGUAAAAGUUCUUUGGAAUAGGACAUCAUAGAGGGUGAGAAUCCCGUAUUUGACCAUUAUUUUCAGCUGUGUGAUACACUUUCAAAGAGUCGGAUUGUUUGGGAAUGCAGUCCAAAAUGGGUGGUAAAUUUCAUCUAAAGCUAAAUAUUGGCGAGAGACCGAUAGCGAACAAGUACCGUGAGGGAAAGAUGAAAAGAACUUUGAAAAGAGAGUUAAACAGUACGUGAAAUUGUCAAAAGGGAAGCGUUUGACACCAGUGUUGUUUUCUCGAAAAUCAAUUAAAAAGAGUUAGAUUUUGUUGUGUAUUGACCUUAACAGCUUGCAUUUCAAUUUUCUUGCUUUUUUUAAUGCACUUUUCGUUUAACAAGUCAACAUCAGUUUCUUUUGUUGUAAAAAGGUCAUUGGAAGGUGGCUUUCUUUUCGGAGAAAGUGUUUAUAGCCUUUGACUCCUGCAAUCGGAGAGACUGAGGUCUGCAGCGUAGAUCCUUCGGGGUUAGAUACAUUUGUGCUAAGUUAUAGCUUUUUAUAGACAACUUGUUGACUAUGAUUAGUCUUGUAGCUUACUCGCUUAUGCUAUUUUACCUACGCUUAGGAUGUUGAAGAUGUAGCACAUCAU